CCGAGUAACGGGGCCUCCAGCCCCGACUCCCACCCAAUGUUGACUUUACGAUGGUUGCUUUGGCGGACCGGUGGCUUCUCGCCGCCGCCGGCCCUCGGGCUGGAGAGCGUCCGCCAGAGGAUUUUCAAACUCUAUUAAACCGUGGAAUUCUGAGCUUGCUUGCAAAUGAAUCA
rnacentral:misc_RNA from 1 species